rnacentral:misc_RNA from 1 species
AGCAGUUUAAAACAAACGGCAGGCUGUAUUGUUAUAUAUUUAUAUAAGCCUGGAUGUUUAUACUUUUCUGUGCAGUCGUGCCCAACCAACCAAAAUCUUGAUCAACCAACCGUGGAAAAUGUUUUGCAUGGUGUUAAACGCGUUUUACAUACGUUUAGUGAAAGAAAAUGAGUUUCAUAUCAACUCAAAGACAAUAUAUUAUUUCUUUCUUUUUAACAAUUUAUUUAAGCAUAGUUUUUAGCGAAGAUUGGUAUGCUCAAAACUCUAGAGGUUUACACGGGCAAUAGGACUUACAACUGCAUAGCAGCAAUGCAUCAUGAACAAUGGUAUUGGACAUACGCAAGAUAAUUUACGUUCGACUUGUUGCAGUUAUAUUCUGUUAAAGCUUCGCUAUUUUUUGCUUGUAACGCAUUUUGAAAACUUAAAAAACAAACACUUGCUUUGUA